rfam:Ictidomys tridecemlineatus contig061276, whole genome shotgun sequence.
UGGGGUACAGCUCAGAGGCAGAGCAUUUGUCUACCAUACACAAGACCCUGGGUUUGAUCCCCAGCACCGCAA